rnacentral:rRNA from 1 species
AGGACGAACGCUGGCGGCGUGCCUAACACAUGCAAGUCGAACGAAGUAUGUUUUUCGGAAUGUACUUAGUGGCGGACGGGUGAGUAACGCGUGAAUAAUCUGCCCCAUACAGGGGGAUAGCCUCGGGAAACCGGGAUUAAAACCGCAUGAUGCUUUUUUAUCGCAUGGUAGAGAAGUCAAAUCGAAUAAGAGGUAUGGGAUGAGUUCGCGUCUGAUUAGCUGGUUGGCGGGGUAAGAGCCCACAAAGGCGACGAUCAGUAGCCGGCCUGAGAGGGUGACCGGCCACACUGGAACUGAGACACGGUCCAGACUCCUACGGGAGGCAGCAAGUGGGGAAUAUUGCACAAUGGAGGGAACUCUGAUGCAGCGACGCCGCGUGAGUGAAGAAGGUCUUCGGAUCGUAAAACUCUGUCCUUGGUGACGAAAAAAUGACGGUAGCCAAGGAG